GGCCGGAUAAGGCGUUCACGCCGCAUCCGGCACUGGUUGCCUGAUGCGACGCUUGCGCGUCUUAUCAGGCC
rfam:Shigella dysenteriae Sd197, complete genome.